ACAAUGAUUUAGACUUUGGUUGGAAUAAAGAUUUUACAUUUAGUGUCAGUGACAACUACAGUGCUUGAUAUAUAAAGCUGAUCUAUUAAUCAGAUCUAUGGAAACAGAUUAGAGGGUGACGUCUUCGACUGUGAAUUCAAAAAUGAGUUUGGAAAAAAUGAAAACUGAUGAACACUGACAGCGGAGAGCGGCGGGAGCCGGGCAGAAGUGAAGUCGGAGCCGAGAAGCAGUUGGGAAGAGUUCUGAGGGAGGUGGCUGAGGAAAUAGCGGAGGCUUUGGUCGUGAUCUUUCAAAAGUCACUGGAGUCAGGUGAAAGCUGGCACUAUGGCUACCAGCAACAUCAAUGCCCCAAGUAGCAAAUUGUACCAUUCUCCUAAACCCUGCAUUCCAGUUGGACCAGCUAUCACCCUCAUCUUGGGCUAAGGUGGAAGAAGAAGAUGAACAAGGGAAGGUAUGAGGAUCAGUAGUGUGGGAAGAGGACAGUGCUGGUUUCACUCUGAGACUUUGCAGGUUGUUCAAGGUGGCAGCAAGAGGAUGCUCAAGCUGUGGAGAGAUUCUUUUCUUAGGUUAAGGAAACAGUGCCUAUGGCUCAUGAAGUAACCAAGUGAUUUAUUCAGCAGUUCUCCAGAAACAUCUGGUUAUUUCCAGAUCAAAUUGCAGAGCUUCAUAAUACAGAGUGAGGGCAUUCAGCCCGUCAAGACUGCCAACUUUCUGCUGGAUUAAUUCAAAACUAAUCUCACUAUCACUCUAGUGUCCUGUAUCUUCCAUUUAAAAAAAAUAAAUUCUUUAAAGAUGCAAUGAUUCAACCCCAUGAUAUAAUAAUCUUCAUUUAAGAUAACAUGACAAAUGUUAGUAAAUUAUUGACAAAGUUAAAUUGAUAAUGCCUCAAUGAUUAAAAACAGUUCUUCCUUAUCCUUACCCUGCCUAAAGUCACAGUUUAAAAGCAAAUUCUCAAUUAAAUCUUUGUGGCAAAUCCCAAUUCUGUUUUGUUGGAAUCAGAACGAUUUCAUAUUCUGAAUCCUGAUCACUUUGAACAUUUGCAGUGUGUUAAGAUGCAACCGUAAAAGGUGGAGAAAAGCAGUAUGCACCAAAACAAUCAGAUACAGAAGACUGGCUCAGUGCUAACACCAAGUUUUGCCUCAUGCAACCAUGUUCUCUCCCUGCCCAUUCCAUCAACGAGCUGAGGAGCAGUCAACGGAAAGGAAAUAAAAACCAAAAGAACUGCAGAUGCUGUAA